UACGUAGGGGCGAGCGUUGUCCGGAAUGAUUGGGCGUAAAGGGCGCGUAGGCGGCUGUGCAAGUCAGUAGUGGAAGCCCAGCUUUUAAGGUUGGAAGUGCUAUUGAAACUGUGCAGCUUGAGUGUCGGAGAGGUAAGCGGAAUUCCUAGUGUAGCGGUGAAAUGCGUAGAUAUUAGGAGGAACACCGGUGGCGAAGGCGGCUUACUGGACGAUGACUGACGUUGAGGCUCGAAAGCGUGGGGAGCAAACAGGAUUAGAUACCCCGGUAGU
rnacentral:rRNA from 1 species